rnacentral:rRNA from 1 species
AGAUCGAAUGGGGAGAUUCAUCGCCAGCUUUAACGGCUUGCGUGCUGCUCGCGAUGCUCGUCUUGGGGACGUGUUAAAGCGUUCUUUUUUGACGGGCACGCGGUAGCUGCGCAAUUUUGUGUCGUUGAAGUCGGUGUGCACUUCUCCCCUAGUAGGACGUCGCGACCCGUUGAGUGUCGGUCUAAGGCCCGCGAGGUUGACUGCCGGCGCGUUGAUUUUUCGAAAUUGACGUCGUCGGUAGACCCGCGGUCGCCCGACCGACUGCUCGGCGGUAUAAAUUGUUUGAAUGUUCAAUGGUAUCGAGCCGCAUUUUUUUAUGCGUUCUUUAUGACUCGUCGGCAGGUGAGCCUCGCCUCGGAUUUACGGACCUGGUGCCGUUGUCGAGCGAGUCGUUUGCCGUUUUGCCGACGAUGUUCUCGGACGGGCUCUAUAAAGGCGCGCGUUCGCGCGCGCCUUUUGUUACCAGUCAGCGACGCUACUGCUUUGGGUACUUUCAGGACCCGUCUUGAAACACGGACCAAG